rnacentral:lncRNA from 1 species
AAAAUGAGAGAUAUUGGCUUUGAUAGAUUGGCAUCAAGGUUGGAGAAGGAGGCCGGCCAAUACCCAAAUACGUUUUUGAGAUUAUCGUCUAUUUGGUAAUUCCAAUCCUUUUCAAAUUUUUUGUGCUUGUUUUCAACUUAUUUUUUAAAAAGUAUGAAAAUUUUGAGUUUAGAUCAACAGUUCAUUCAUUAGUUAUUGAGGUUUAAAUCUGUUAUAAAAAUUACUAGAAUAUGGUUUAAGGUUUAGGAUUUGGUUAGGAUUUGAUUUAGAAUUAGUGUUUGAUUUAGGAUUUGGAAUUUGAUUUAGAGUUUAAGAUUUGGUUAGGAUUUGAUUUAGGAUUAGGAUUUGGUUAGGAUUUGAUUUAGGAUUUAGGAUUUAAAAUUAGGAUUUAAUUAGGAUUUGAUUUAAGAUUAAGAUUUGAUUAGGAGUUGAUUUAGAGUUUAGGAUUUGGUCAGGAUUUGAUUUAGGGUUUAAGGUUUUAUUUGAAUUUGUUUAGAAUUUAAGAUUUAGUUAGUUUUUGGCCUAAAGUUUGAAUGAAGUGCAAUAGGAUUUCAAAUAGAAUUAAAUUAAGAUUGAAUUAAGAUAUAUUUGAGAUAUAUUUGUAAUUAUUUUAAUAUUUCUUUAAUAUUUCUUAUUAUUUUUUUGUAAUUCAUUUGAGAUUUUUUUUGAAUUUGAUUAAAGCUUGUUUAGCAUUGUUAGUGUUCUAUUAGAACUAGGGUUUUGUUGUAGCAAUUUCCAUUCUAUCUUCCACAGCCAAGUGCCUAGAGCAUUCUUAAGCAAGACUUCAUGUAUUACGACAUCAUCUUAUUGAUUUUUAAAUUGCAUUAUAAUGCAAUCAUGGCCUUUACAGAUCUAUUUGUAGAUAUAUUUGAUGGCACAAAUAGAUUCAAGCCUUUUUUACUCUUAAUAAUGCCUUUCUAGUCUUUAGUCUUAUUUCAAGACUUUCUAGUCUUCUUAUCUUUAGCAAUAGCCAUACUAGGUUAAUACUAUAUCAUCUUUGAGUGACUUUUUAGUUGUUUUGAGUGACAUAAGAGUAUAUUGAGGAUUUCUUUCUUUAAGCUUCAUGUCCUUAAUAGUUUGAUAAGAGUGCUAAUUUAUUUUUUAUCUUAUUUUAGAAGUGAAUGGAUUAUAUCACUUCUAUUUUUAUAUUUUAAAGGUUGUAGAUUAUCCAUCUUUAAAAAAAACUAUUUAAUUUUUUAAUACUGAUAUCUUCUUUAAAGAGAGUAGAUUAUCCAUCUUUGUAGAAAUUUUUAUUUGAUAUUAGAAAUUUUAAAUUACCCUCCUCUAAUUUGACUUAAAAUUUUGUUAAGUUAUUUGAAAGGAAAGAAAAUAUCAUGGAUGCUAUACUUCGUAGAAGUAAAAAUGGAUUUGUAAUUAUUGUUGAUUUUUAAGAACUUGUGAAUAUUUUUAAAUUCUUGAAGUUUUAAUUCAACAAGUAUGACAAGGAUAAGGAUUAAUAUGUCUAAGAAGUUUGAUGGAACAAGAUCAAAAUAUUGAAGAUUUUUACAACAAGUCAAUCUCUAUCUAAGGUUGCAUCCCUUCUUAUACCCUGAUAGAUUUACUCAAGUUGAAUUCAUAGAUGCACUUCUAUAUAGAAGUCUUCUUUCUUAAUUCGUACCUUUGAUGGAAAAGAAUUCACGAUUCUUUUAUAAUUUGAAUUCAUUCUUACAAAUUUUUACAACCACGUUCUGAAAAAGUGAUUAAAAAAGAGCAGCAAAGAUCAAAUUCUUAUUUAUAUUACAAGGAUCACAAAUAGUGACCAUAUAUACUGCUGAAUUCCAAAACCUCUCUUGUAACAUGAAUUGGAAUGACAAAGCUUUCAUCAAUCAAUUUUGAUAUGGGUUGAAGAAUAACGUCAAAGAUUUGUUAUUCACAAUAUCAAAAGUAAAAUCUUUAGAAUAAUUUAUUGCUUAAGUGAUUAUAUAUGACAAUUGAUUAUUUGAAAGGUAUAAAAAAUAAAGACUUGAAUAGAGAAGAACAAGUCAAGUAAUGAUGGCAACUCUGGAGUUUUUAAAAACUUAUUUAUCAAGGUCAGAAUCAAUGCAAAUUAAUAUAAUAUAUUUUAAAUUCCUCAAUGGACAAGAAAAGAUUUGAUGUUGUUAAGAGGAUUUGUGCUUAUAUUAUAGAGAAGCUAAAUAUAUUAUUUAAUAUUAUUUAAAGAAGCAACUCAAUCACAAAACAAUUAGUAUGUUUGCUAAAGAAGACAAUGUCUUGAAAAACGAGUUUUUCUAGCUAUAAUAGGUACUAUGUGGCUCAAAUCAUAUGCAAUAUCUACUAAAAGUCCUAUUCUCUUUUCAAAUCCCUCACCUUAUUUUAUAAUAGAUGUAUGUAUAAGAUCUAAAAAUUACAAAGUCUUUGCAUUAUUAGAUUCAAGAGCCUCAACCUAUUUUAUAGACAAAGACUUUUGUGAGCUCUCAAUUAUAUUCUAAAAUUUAAAUUUUUAUUAUUUUCCUAUUUUAUGAUAAUUAAACAUGUUAAAUUAGGAUUUAUAUAAGUGGAAUUUACUUUUAUAGAAUUUUUAGGAUUACAACCCUUGAUGGUAUAAAUUAUAGCCUAAUUCCUUGAAUUAGGUUAAUUAGGACUAAAGUGAUAAGAGUUAAAAAAUUAGAAUAGCAACUUAGUUAGUUUAAUAAUUUAGAGGUUGUUAUUUAUUACUAUAAGGGUUGACUAAAAGCCUAUGAGUGCAUCUAUAAUCAUUCAUAUGAUUUAGGAGUUGGAAUUAUAAUUCUCUAAAAGAUUUAAGAAAGUUAGCAAUGAUAAUUUUGGAUUUUCCUCCAAAUUCGACAAAUUCAAGAAACAUGAUGGUUCUUCUACUUAAUGGGAGUCUUUUUGAUGCAAUGGUGGCACCAAAUUUACCUCGUGGAGUGAAGAAAACAAGAUCAGUAACCUCUCCUUCAAAAUACAAGAAAAGCAAUGAAAUUCUCAUUUUGAAGAAUUUCACAAAAAUUGCCAAUAUCCUUGUAAGUAAAAACUUCUAUGAAAAUUAUAAUUGAGCAUGGAUUGAGGCAUGUGAGUAGUCGAUCUUAGAUUAAAAAUGUGUUUUGAACACAAUAGUGAAGUCAAAUUUACAAAAAAAAUGCUUUCUUGACCACUUACAAGAGCCAUCAGCCUUGGUAACGAGAUUGGCUCUUAGAUGAAUGAAGGCCGUAGAUCUAGAUUAAGGAUCUUAAAAAUCAAGGGUAGAGAUGUAGCUACCCUUCUAUGAGCCUCCACUCAAUUGUAUAAGAGAGGCUUGGUUUUCCAAGCCUUCUCUCUCUCUCCUCUUUUGGGUAAAAAGCAAAGCCAUGCCAAAAUUUGGCUGAAACCCUAAUCUUAAUUUUAUUUAGGUUUUAAUUCUUAUUGUGAAUCUUUUGAUUGUAUAUGUAUGGAUUUUUCAUUGUGAAGGAUGGUCAUUAAGUUUUAAAAUAUGUUUCAUUGAGGUAGAUAUCUCCUCAGCCUUUCAAAUAUCCCAAAGGUUUCAAGAGCCUUUUAUUUUCUUCAAUCAAUCACUCAGUUUCUUUUGUUUCAAUGUGAGAUUCUGAAUAGUUGUAGCUUUUGUUGUUAGCUUUUCAACAAAAUAAGACUCCUUUGAUUUGGAGUAAGAAGGAAUUCUUGGUGAAAUUUUGAGUUUGAGGGAGUCGACUACCUUUGCAGUUUGAAUCAAUCGAGUUUGGAAAGGCAUUUCUCAGUUCUUGAUGAUUGGAUUUAUUUGAAAUUUUGGGAGCAUCAAGAUUUUUAAUCUAAGCUUUGAAAGGAAUAAGUUUUGUUGAAUUUGAAGACAAUCUGAAUUUUCAGUGAAUUUCUAAGUGAAGAGGGUUGGUCACCACGGCAGUUUGGAUCACUCAACUUCAAAGGAGGAAUUCUCACGAUUGAAUCAUUAGAUUGCAACAAAGAUUGUUGGAUCAAAAGCGUCUUGAAGUUAGCCUUGAAACAAGCUAAGAAACAUUCAAAUUGAAGCCAAUGACAAAUUUUGGAAAAUUUUGAAGUAGAAGGAGGUCAUUGCCUUCAAUCCUUGUGUUGUCAAGGUACCUUUGCUUUCACCUCUCUUACUUUAUUUUUACUAUCAUCUUCAUAAUGACUUGUAAUCUCCACAUUUCACUUUUUGGCUAAUAAAUUUUAAGUUUAACUUUUAACCUCUAAUAUUCUCACUUUAACUUUUAACCUUAAUUUUUAACUUUAACUUUUAAAUUGAACUUUUAAUUUUAACUUUUCACUUAACCUUUAAUCUUAACUUUUAACUUAAUUUUUUUAAUUUAAACUUUUAAUUUUAACUUUUAACUUAAAUUUUUAAUUUUAACUUUUAACUUAAAUUUUUAAUCUUAAUUUUUAACUUUAACUUUUUAAAGUUAACUUUUAAUUCAAAAGUUUUUAUUCUUAUGGUCAAUUAAUAGUAAUAACUUAGUUAAUUAUUUUUACUAUGUUUGCAUAAUAAAUUUCAUUUAACAUGUUAAUUUAAUGUUGGUAACUAUUGCUCGAAAGGCCUAAAACUAAUUGAAUUUUUAAUAUAAAGAUUUAUAUUAAUCUAAUAAUUGCACAAUUGGGAGCUCUUCAAUUCCACCUCUUAGACUUGUUGUGUGGCAUAGGUUUCAUCAAGUGGUGAAAUUUGGCCUCACAACUUUUUCAAAAAACAAGAAAUAUCUUUAGUUAAGAAAACUAAAUCCAUACAUGUAGAAGUCAUAGAUGGUCAUUUGUUGUCUUUUGGAGAUGUUAUUUAUAAGACUAUUCUUUUAGAUGUAGCAAUUAAAGAUCAUAAUAGUAUAAUAAUAUUUAAUGUGAUAAGAUCCUCUUUCAAUCUAGUUGUUUUAGGAUUAUUGUGGUUAGUAAAAUAUAAUUCUCAAAUAGAUUGGAUUUUUUAUAACCUUAAUUUUUUUUAAAUUAAUCUUUUUACUAUUAGAAAUAGAUACGGCAUAUAUAGAAAGGCCAUCUUUUGUUAUAUAUGCCUUAUCUAUUUCUAAUAGUAAAAAGAUGUCAAGUGAUAUUUCUAGCCAAUAUCAAGAUUUUUAAGAUAUUUUUUAAAAAAAAAUGGAGAUAUUAUUUCAAAGCAUCAAUUUUAUCAUUGUACAAUUCAUCUACAAAAAGGAGCUUAAUCUACAACUUAUUGCGAAAUGAGUUGGUUACACUAAAAGAAUACAUUGAUGAGAACUUUGGUAAGAAAUUCAUAUGACAUUUGAAAUCUUGAGUAGGAGCUCUAAUUUUAUUUGUGAAGAAAAAAGAUGGAUCUUUGGAGAUGUGCAUAGACUAUUGAGGACUAAAUAAGAUCACCAUCAAAAAUAGAUAUUCUUUACUUUUGAUUUCAGGACUUUUUGACCAACUCAAUCAAGCAAAGAUCUAUACAAAAAUAGAUCUACAAGGAGCAUACAAUCUAGUUUGCAUCAAAGAAGGAGAUGAGUGGAAGAAUGCUUUUCAAGCUAGGUAUGGAUAUUUUGAAUAUAAUGUCAUGCCUUUUGGAGUCACGACUGUAUUAGCUAUUUUUUAACAUUUCAUAAAUGAUAUCUUUUGUAAAUUUCUUGAUUAUUUUAUUUUCUUUUAUUUAAACGUCAUUCUAAUCUAUUCUAUGAACAUAGAAGAAUAUGAAUUUCAUAUUUAUUGUGUAUUUCAAAAAUUUAGAGAUACAAGAUUAUAUGCAAAGAUAAAAAAAAAGUGUAUAUUUUAUACUACUCAAGUUGAUUUUCUAAGGUAUAUCAUUUCCAACAAAAGAUUAAUGAUGGAUCCUAAGAAGGUCUAGACUAUCAUAGAUUGGAAGGCUUCAAAAAUAAUCAAAGAUAUGCAAUUUUUUUUAAAAUUUUCCAAUUAUUAUCAAAUCUUCAUUAAGAAUUUUUUUCAAAUUACAACUCUUCUUAUACAUUUGAUAUGUAAAGACAAAUUUGAGUGGAGCAAAGAAACAAAAACAAAUUUUGAAGCCUUGAACACAACAUUUAUCUUUGCACCAAUUUUAUAUCUUGUCGAUUUUUUUAAAGCAUUCUUUAUGGAAAAUAGAUGCAUUGAACUUUAUUAUAAGUGAUGUUUUAUCAUAAAUUGGAGCAAAUGAUAAGUUCUAUCUAAUUUCUUUUUAUUCCAAGAAAUUUUUAAUAGUUAAAAUUAACUAUAAGAUCUAGGAUAAAGAACUUGUUAUAAUUGUGGAUUCAUUUCAAGUAUGGCAUCAUUAUUUAGUAGAUGCUUUUAGUUCAAUUAUUAUAUAUAUGGAUGGUAAAAACCUCAAAUAUUUCAUGUCAACACUUUUUUGAAUUAUUGCCAAGCUCAUUGGAAUAUGCUUUUAUCAAGAUUUUAUUUUAAGAUUACCUAUAGAUUCAAAAAAUAAUAUAGUUUAUCAGCUAGCUUUUCUAAUUUUUCUUAUCUUACAGCAAAAAAAAGAGUUGUAGCUUUUAAUCAAUAAAGAAUAAUUUUUUUAAAUCCAAAUCAUUUUCAUCUUUGAGCAAUAAAAUCAAUAUUAACUAUUGAUUCAACCUUUCUUAAGCAAAUUCAAUCAAGUAUGUCUUCUGAUUUUUUUUUUUUUUUUUUUUUUUUUUUUUAUAAUAUCAAGAAUAAUUCUUUUAAGUCUUAUGAUACUUCCAAGUUUAGAUUUAAAAAUAAUCUAUUCUAUUUUGAAUGAUGAUUAUACAUUCCAAAAGGCUAAGCACGAUUACGUAUUCUUCAAGCUCAUCAUGACUUUCUAACAAUUGGAUAUUUUAGAUACAACUAGACUUGAAAGCUAAUAUCUAGAGAUUUUUGAUUGCUUCAAAUGUAGAAGGCUAUCAAAGACUUUGUACAAUCAUGUGAUACUUAUUUAAGAUCCAAAACUCCUUGUCUUUUACUUUAUGGACAACUUAUUAUUUAUUAUUGAACUUUAAUUGUUAUAAAAAUAUUGUAAAUAAAUUCAUUUGCUUGCUCUAAAGCAAGACAACCUAAAAUAUCCAAUCCACAAUAAAACUUGACAUUGACAAUAAUAAAGACAAAGUCCAAAUUUGAGCAUUUGACAAAGAAUACUUUCAUAAGUCCAAGAGUUUUUUUUAUAAUAAAAUAAAUUGAAGUCAUAAAAUGAAUAUUGACAUUGAUUGAUUGUAAUAAAUGAGUAUUAUUUUUUACUCUUGCGCAAUGAAUUGGAACUUUUGUAUAAUUUUUUUGUAAUGCAAUGUAAAAUAUAAUAAAAAUUCAAUUAACUUUGUACUUCUUGUAUAACUUUGCACAUUCCAUGUAAAACUUUGUACUUCAAUUAAAUCUUAUACAUUUUACACAUCAAGUAUAAUGUAUAAAAUUGAACUAUCAAAUACAAUGUAUAAAAUUAUAUUGUAUAAAAUAUAUAAAUCUCUGCUCUUUCUAUAUAAAAUGUAUAAAAUUUUGUACUUUUUGUGUAAGUCAAUCAACACAAAAAGUUACAUGACUAUAUUCUCACUCUACCUACAUUAAAGAAGAAUCAUGUGCUCUAAGACCUGAAGGAGUUAAUACCUUGAAAUAUGACGGCACCCUUGGCUACCGUAACAGUCGCAUUUUAGCCGUAAUGAAGUGAAGUCGCCAACUUCAAAUCUCAUCCUCAGUUUUGGUUUCAAUAUUAGUGGCCCUGCUGCAAGGAUGGUAUCGUUACACUUCACCAUUUGAGUGCCAAUGCUGUUGGUGGCACUGAUAGCCAGCUUUAAUCUAGUCCAUGGGUACAUUCCGUUAAACAACCCCUGUGGCCCAGCCUAUUGGUGCUGGGACUGCCAUUUCAAAACCAAUUACAAACUGUAUUGUGUCUGGGUCUUUUUUGCUGAUGGAUUUUGAUGCACAAUUCAGGCAUUCAAUCCUACAUGCAAUGCACUAGACCAGAUCAACAUCAUACAUGCUUUGAAUCUGCCGAGAAUCGGAAUCCGUAAGGAACUGGGUAUCACAACAAAUAAAAUCAUACAAAUCCUAGUCAAAUAUAACAGUUUAAUCUCCAGAUAGUGCAUAUUAGACACGGAACAUGAAUAUAUCACCAGCUGCUGCAUUAUACUGAACAAGUUAUCUAAUCUUGACAGAAGAUAACAAUCUUCGCAUAGAAAAAAAAAUCAGAACAGAACAAAGCGUUCGUUUAUGAAUGAAGACAGCAAUAUUUUUGAUGAUAUCGUUCAUAUUAGCGAAAACAAAAAUGCAAUACCAGAUUACGCAUAUACAACAGGUCCCACGUUGAGUACCAGAUCCAUUAAUUAGAAACAUCAAGACAAGAUCGAAUUAAGAAAAGAUCUACACUGCAUAAAGCUCAUAUUCAUCAAACUCUAGGUUAUUGAAACAAGCUCCGAAUGUAACAUACCAGCUCUAAACCCCCAAGCACAUGGGUCAUCACACAUACGGUCACCAACCAACAAACCCACGAGUACAAGCCUGAGUUCCUGCAUUAAAAUGCACACUAAUAAUUUACAAGGUCUAAUCUGCAACAAAUAUACAUUCAAAAGAUAAGUUAGUCCUGAGAUCAUAUUCUAACACUAGGAUCUAAUCUAAUCCUCUAGAUCAGACGCACAAUUAGCGGAGAUAUGUCGACUAGACGCGAAAUCCAAGGGAAAAAGUAAUCAGCAUAUUAAUUGAUAAUACUUGUCCAUUGAUCAGAAGUUCUGCCAGAAACUUAUAGAAAUAUUUCCAGUUACAGUUUGCUGUAGAUUUUCUCUGAUUCGUCCUCCAAAACAGGGUACGUAGCCACUAAACCAUCCUGAGCAUCGAUAUAAAGCGAGUUGUAUAUCUUCCAGUAAACUACUCGAACUUUUCUCGCAGGGUGAAACAGCCCCUGCAAGCAUUAAUUCAACAAAAUGGCAGGACCAAAGACGACCCGCACGCCUUCAAUUGCUUUCAUAACUGCAUUAUUGACACUAGACGCCGCCUCGAAAAUAUUAGGCCAUAAGUAAUUCAACAAGUGAAUCAGAUCCUCCUCACACCCGAGUCCUGCAACUCCCAGAGCUAUACGCUUCACAGCUGAAGCAGUUGUCUGCCUUUAUACAAGAUCUCGAUCUAUCAACGCAUCCUCCAACAGUGGGGAGAUAGCAUGAACGUACUCCUUUCCCAUUUCUUCGAUGUACUCGAACAAAAAGGAGAGUGAUUUCAGCACACCAUUCUGAACAUUCAACUCUGGAACUCGGUUUUCGUUCAUCAAUGCCGGAAGCACGGUAAAAGGAAAACAAGUUUCAGCCACGAUGGCAAUGGCCACAGUAAUACACACACGAUUUUGCCAAUAUUUCACGAGUCUGUGGCAAAUACGGCUUGACUCUCUGUCCUAAAGCAUUACCAACUGUGCCGAAACCAUUGAGCAUCACAUUUGCAUCAUCACUUGUCUGCUCCUGGAAGGCAUACAAGAUGCCAUCAAUUAAUAAUUCCUCAAGUUGAGCAUUAAUAUCUGAAGCCCCCAGAUUGGCAACCACUUUCUCGAUAGUUUCCAUCACCAUUCAACGACGACAAGGUUCGCUUUUAUCUUUCAGAUCUUCAACCAUUCUUACAAGUGGUGUUUCUCAUGUACUAAUCGAUAUUAUCAGUAUUAGGCCUCAUUGCUGCAAUCGUGGUAGCUAAUCCUGCCGCUUUACUGAGAUUGGAAAUAAUUUCCCGAUCUUCCACACGGGCAUAGUAAUCCUCAUCAAUAAGAAGAGGCUCAAUGACCACAAGAAUCCUGUGUACAAAUGGCCUAACCAGCUCGUCCAAUUUGUACAGCGCCCUGUCAAUAACCUUCACGAGCAGAUGCCUCUCCUGGUCCUCGAGCGUAGGAGACAUGAGCAAAGGCAAGAUCUGGUUACACAAAGGUCCAGCACCAAACUCCUUUGCUUUGUCAGUCGACUGCCGCAAAGACGUUUUUCUCUGCGGUGGGAUGUCAUUCUUUACCUUCAACAACAGCUUCAUAAAUUCACGCUCCUUACUCUCCUCUGCGGUCAUUCCUCUUCCUCUUUCUCACCUAACAAGGAACCGAGGUACUGAUAAUCCUCCGGUUUCAAAAAAAGUAAUCCUCCAGCUGCUUCCUUAGGAACAUCAUAUUGCUGAGUACGAUACUCCUCAGGAAUGUGAUACAGCUGAGUGCCUUCCAAAGAAAUCGGCGUGGCCAGGAGCUUCCGGACAGGGGUUCUGAUGGGAAUGUAAGAAGCAGGGAGUUCCAACAUCUUGUAACCUGCCGUGGGAAACAUGGACUCCAAUUCCUCAUCCGACAAAGGCCGAUUUCUCUCCCCGAUAUCCUUCUCCCACCGUAACAUAUUGACUUGCUCUGGCGUCAAAGGACCCCGUAGCGCAAUUUGGCCUGGUGAUGGGGUAGCAAACUCGAGGCCUCCAAAAGCUGUGACACCGGGAGUGAAAAUGGAUGAUGUAGGCCCUGGCGACGUAGUAGUACUCCCCAUGGAUUCAGGGGUUUCGUCCUAUCGAAAUCUCUGCUUCUUCCCGGGAGUAGCCAUACCUGCAAGCUUUGGAGUUGCAUCUCAUGUCAUGCCUGCCGGCGUGGCGCCUGGAGUCGCACCAGCGCCAGGCGUUGCAUCUGCGUCAGAUGCUCUGCCUGGUGUCGGUGUUUCAUCCCAUCGAUUGCGUCUAGAAGCUGUCACGGGUGUGGCAUCCGGAUUCGCGCGUUCCGUUCAGACAUUGCUUCCGGUAAUCAUCCUCCCUAUCAAUAAUCCGCGACGGUUUCUUGAAUCCAAUCCCAUCGUCCACCACUUCAUCCCUGGGGAUAUCGUUAAUCAAGCUCUUGGAAGCCGUGUAAUAAGCAAGCUUUUUAGCAUCUGCCCUAUCUUUCGUAUCCUGCAGGUAAUCAUCCUUAUCAUUCAGUGCAAUUGAAUGCUCACAACCCUCAAAUCUAUUCAAUUCCCCAUACAAAUCCUUGUCGAAGCUCUGCGACGAGAUCUUCGAUAACUCCGCUUCAUGCUUCUGCAGCUCCUCCUGCACCUUGGCAAUCUCCCGGUCUGUAUCGACCUCCAUCUUCGACUCCAAACCCUAAACCUCUCAAACACAAAAAUUCAAUCCACUUCAAAGUCACUCAAACCAAGCUGCUUUUCACAACUGCCCUUCAAGGCACGAAAUGCCUCCUUGCCAAAGUCAGUUUUCCAAAUCGCACCUCAAAUUUCUUACUGCAGAACUCAAACCCUAGCCUUGAUGAAAACUAAAAUCCUACACUAUUUGCCACUAAUCCAAAAUUUUGCUACAAAAUCUCUGCAACUCCCACCUACAGCAGAUGCAAAUAAAAGAGAGGUGGUAGGGAGUUCACACAGUGGAGCUGCCCUCAUCGCAACUCAAACCAAGGUCCGUCAAGACUAUUCUGCAGGUCACCAACAACAUUCUAAAAACGUAAAAUAAUUUACCUUCGGGCCCACUUUGUCGGUGCGAGCGCCAACGAAUGACAAAGGAUGAUGAGAAACAUCUCACAACGAAUUUUCCCGAACAUCUCAAAAAGAACUAAAACAAUUCGGAUGAGGAGACGAGCCAUUGUGAAGAUAAUGCAGCCUUCUCUGCUACGCGGCCCCUCUAAUUCUCACUUGUUUCCGAAACUCAGUCGUGGUUUCUCUAAUUCCAACCAUCAUUUCUCACGAAUCUUCAGUAUGUCCUGUGCUUUUACGAACCAGAAUUCAUUUAGUUGACGUUCAGUUUUCUGCAAUCUGCGUGAGAUUUUCCAGUUUCUUUUGUGGAGAGUAAACUUGCUGCUAGUUUUGGUUGCUGCGGCCUGUUCUGUCGAUUCUGUGAAUUCGUUUCUGCGGCGAAAGUUUUGGGGGAGUGACGGUAGCGUUGGGAGUUUCUGCGAGUGGCGAGGAGGGAGGAUUUGGAGAAUGUGUUCGCAGAGGGUUUAGUUACGAUCUGUGACUGCAUUUUGGUGUGAAGCAUUUGGAGCGCCUUGUGGUUGUAGAACUCGAAUGGUGAGCCCUUGUUGGAAACGGGGUUUUACAUGUAGGUGAUUCGAGGUAUAGUUGUGCAGGCUUCCGUAGCGCGAGUUGGCGAGAAAUUUGGGUGAAUUGUUGGUUUUCAUGGAUGCUGUUAUCGUGUGAGUCGCCUUAAGAUUUAAUUCGACGUUUGUAUGUUUCUAGGGUUAUACAAUAUAUUGGAACUGUGUGCUUCUAGUGAAAAAUACCGUCUCGAGGGAUCUGGUCUUGCAUUGGUUUAUCUCCAGACAAGUCUUUCGUGUGUCCUUUUGUCAUUUUAUUUUUAUUUUUAUUUUUCUCUCUAUCGAGAUUUGUGGUUCUCUGAAAGAAUGAUGCAGAGUCUCCAUGUGUUAUUGUGUUUCUUACAGGAAACCUCUUUGUCUUUCUUCUGAGUUGCGGAUUAUAUUGGAAGAGUCGGAAUUUACAGUAGGGUUUAAGCUGCUGUUCUAAUACUUUUCAACCUGCAGAGAUUUUGGACCAGCUUACGACGAUUUACAUCGCGGAUUUUUCGGAGUUUCAGUCUUUCGCUGAAUUUAAUGUGGUUCCAGCAGUGUCACGUAUAAUACCGGUAAUUGCAACGAAGCAUUUCGUUCUCUUGAUUGUAACUGGAGAACACUUCGCAAUUUGUCAAUGACAGGUUUAACCACCUUCCUGCCUUUCCUCCGUGGAACACUUCUAGGACUUAAGCUUGGUGUACGCCAGCGGCAUGUUCUACCAGAUUCUCAUCGUAUAGUUGAAGCGUCUCUUGCCCGUGCUCACGUUCAGUGCUUCUCUCUGCGAGCAUGUCGCGCAUCGAAAGCGAGUGACGCUAGUACAGUGUGUGUCGAAAGCUCUGGUCGAAGCUUGGAGUGGUUAGCCAGCAAGACUCCGAUAAGAUCUUACGCUUCUUCUGCUGAUGCAAUGAAUGCAACCGUUUCGUCUUCUAAGGUUACCUUUCUACACUAUUCUGUGUAUUACAUAAUUGUAUGAAGUCAAGUCAACUGAGUUGCCCAUGUUUGCUUAUAUUGUUGGAUAUCUCUGAAUCUUUCGCUUUUUCUCAUACAAUUGCACUUGGCUUCUAGGCUUGGAAUUAUCGCAGGAUCUCAGUUUGUUUUGGCAGCAUAUGUUGGAAUUCAAGUGUUUAGAAAUAGUUUUAGUUAGAGAGAUCACUUACUGGUGAGGUUGACCCGAUCCGUUUUCCAUUCUCAACGUAGCAGAGUCAGGUGUUGAAGGAGUUAGAAAAGGUAUUAGGAUCGCCCUUGGACACCCAACCUCAAGCUCCUCCUCCGAAUCCCCUUGUGGUAGUCAUAAGUGGCCCCAGCGGUGUUGGCAAAGAUGCCGUUAUUAAGGUGACGCACAUACUGCUGUCCCACCUGCUAUCACUUGAUAUCCUUCUUGUGGACUUGAUCAGUUGAUCAUGGUAGUUGAAAAAAACUCCCACUGGUUUGGAUUUCUUAGAUACUUAGCGUAGAUACUUGUACCAAACAUUCUUAGCAUGCAUGUGACAAUUCAAGCUACUAUUUGCACUGGCAUGAAGAUUAAAUCCUGGGCGAUUAUCUGAUUUUGUUUAAGUUCAACAGAGGUUGCAGGAGAUUCGAAAUGAAAUUCACUUCGUGGUCACAGCUACUACGCGACCAAAACGGCCGGGUGAAGUAGAAGGAGUAGACUAUUAUUUUAUGAGUAAGCCAGAGUUUCUCGACUUGAUUGCUCGGAACGAGCUUAUUGAGCACGCCUUGGUAUAUGGUGAUUAUAAGGGAGUCCCAAAGAAACAGGUAAUUGCAUGUCAUACACACUUAGUUUUUGCAGCCAUAGUCACUGGCAAACAAUGUAUUGUUACUUCCAAUGUAUUUUCAUUGUACGUCAAUUGAAAAAAGAAAAACGAGCAAGAAGAUCAAAAAUGUUGAUGAAAAGAAACAUCUUCGUUGUUGCCAGGUGAGGGAGUGUAUGAGCACAGGUCAGGAUGUACUACUUCGACUGGACAUUCAAGGGGCUGCAACAGUUCGAAAACUUUUUGGGCAGGAGGCGGUCUUCAUCUUUUUGGUGGCUGAGAGUGAAGUUGCCCUUGUUGAGCGACUAGUGGAACGAAAAACCGAAAGUAUUGACAAGCUGUUGGUCAGAGUGGCCACGGCACGAGAGGAGGUCAAACAUAUAAAUGAAUUCGACUACGUGGUUGUAAAUGCAGACGGCCAGCUGGAGCGAACGGUCUCUCAUCUUUGUUCGAUCAUUGAUGCUGAAAAAGCCCGUGUACAACAACGUCAUGCUCAAUUUUAGAAAUAUCCAAGGCUCAUUUUGGGUAGAAAUUCUUUCAUUCCUACGAUCUGCGAUGUGUGUAGUUCAUUCUUUUUUCAGUAGUUGUCCUUGAGCCAAAGAUACUUGGGUAAUUUUGUCUGGUCACUCAUUCAAUAGGUAUCUUUACCUUACUUUGUACUUAAUUCAGUAAGGUUGAGCACCAUUUUUUUAUCUUAUCUUCAUUCACUACAAAUGUAUGCUGACACAUUGCUGGAGGCAUCUACUAAGGAAAAAAUUUAGAUUUUUUACAACCUAUCAACAUGCACCUAAGCUCAAGAAGCUCAAGAAAAUCAUUGAAGUUUUCCUCAUUUCAGAGUCGAAUUCACCAGUUACGUCCACAGCAUGUGUGUAAGAAUGAAUAUAUUUAGAUAUGUGUAUAUAUAUAUAUACAUAUAUAUGUUCCCACUCACACAUGUAUUGUCCACAUCAAAUCUCAGCUGGCACUGCAGCUCUGAUUGAUUCUCCGGUUCCGCACUAAAGCAUAAUCAGUAUUACGUUUCUCAAUUGAAGAUUUGGUGAUCUCAAAUCUGGUGACAGCACGGAAUUGUGUGCAACGAAGCAGCACGUAACCAUGGUGCAGAGCUGGAUGACGUCUACAAUCUGAAGUUGUACACUAUUUGAGAGUCAUGAAGAGCCAGCUUUGAGAGCUGAGUGGAAGUUUGAAAUGGUCAUCGAGGCACUUUCUUCACGUGUUCCUUGGUUACCCAUUUUUCUACUAGGGUUAGACUGAAAUAGAAUUUUGGAAGAGAAUUUUACCCUUUUGUAUUUCUAGUAUUUUCUGUGUUCUGUUACAAGUAUAAUUUUCUUCUAAAAUUAGAGGUUGGGAAAUCCACUACAAAAGAAAGGCUUUUAUGGUUUGUUGAAGAACUUUCACACACAACAUUUCUUUUUGUAAAGACUUUUAUGUGACAUUUUGGGUGAUAUACUAUAUUACUGAGUAAGAGUAGUGUUUGUUCAAUCUUUUGCAAAGCAUUCUCCAAUCGAACUAAAAUUUAGCUGCUUAGGAUGUUCUCGAUAGUUUGGUGUUUCUUUGAAUUCAUAAGGACUUUAUUAUUUUAAUUUACAUCAUAAGCAAGAUUUUGGAAUUCAACAACAUAUUGUGGUUGAACGUGUUAUUUAUUAUAAAGAUAUGAAUUUGGACUUUGUUAUCUUUUUUCAAUCACUUUUUCUAAAUAUAAUAGUAAAUACUUCUAAGAAUGAAUUUAGAUCAUAGAAAAGACAUAAAUAUUUUUUUAUCAAAAGUUUAAACUAAGAAAGAAUACUUUUAAAGAAUUGUAUACCUAUGAAUCCAACUUGAGUAAAUCCAUUUCAAUAUUGAAAUAGAUGAAAUCUUAGAUAGAGCUUUAUUUGUUGGAAAAAUCUUCAAAACUUUGAUCUUGUUCAAUUAAACUUCUUUGAAAUACUUAUCCUUAUUUUUUUUAUACUUGUAAUAGCAAAACUUCUCAAAUUUAGUUAUAAACUUGAUCUACUUGCUUCUCUCUACUUGUAUAACUUCUUACAUAGACUUUGAGCUUUAUUAUUGAUUUCUUUUAUAGAUAUGAAAAUACUACCUCCAUAAUUUAUAUUAAAAUUAUGUAAGAUUUUUAUCUUUAAAAUGCAAGAAAAUAAAAACAAUGAAUUAGUACUCUUGUCAAAGUACUAUUUUUAAGAACUAUGUAGCGAUGUCUUAUAAAACCUUCAAAAUGUAUUGACUUUAUAAGAUACAUAGCUUAACUUGCAAGGCAAGUUUUUUAUAUGUGUGCCACACAGUUAAUUUAUUUCAAAAGCCAUCAAUAUGUAGUUAACUUGUUAACCAAAUUUCUAAUCUUUCAAUCAAUUAAAAAUACAUGUAAAGUCAAAAUAAAAUCUAUAAAGCUUCUAAAAAUUAUCUUUUAAAAAUAUUUUAAAAUAAAUAUAUUUUUAUCUAUUUCUAUUUAAUCAUAUAGGUAAAUAUUAGAAUAAAUAUAUAUAUCUAUGAUAUUACCCCUCCUUUCUUGGGACAAGUUCUUUAAGGAGUUGUCAUCAUAUGAUGAAGAAAUCUAAGAUGUGGCAAAUUGUGUUUGCCACAUACUCUAAUCUUUGUUCUCUUCAACGAUGGUUGAUAGGUCCUUUCAAUCUUCGAUAGUAUUUUAUACCAAGAAACUAUUAUGUUGUGAUUUGGCUAUCACUUGAAAAUAAUCCACAUAUAUAUUUAAUAUAUAAUUUAUUUUAUAAUUUAGUGAAAACCAUAUUAUUAGAUUUUAGCUGGUUAUAAAAUAUGAUUACAUUAUUAUUUUGAAGUAGUUAGUUUAAAAGAGUUAUUAUUAAGGUUGAUUUUAUAUUAAUAAUAGCUUUUAUAUAUUUAGAGCCAUCUUUAUCAGACAUUGGUGACUCUUGAGAUCUUAUUUUGUUUCUUUCAAUUUAUAUUAGAAUACAUAUUAUGUAAAUUUUAUUAAAAAAAAAAAUAGAAAAGGAUUUUUUUAUAAAAAAGAAUAGUUAGGCCAAUCAUAUGGAUGAAUGGAGAUGGAUGAUAAAAAUUUCUUUUCUUAUUAGCCAAAAUUCAUGCCCAAUGGACUUUAAGGAGGCUGCUUGAGACCUUAUUAGGAAUUUGGGUUACUCUUUUAAGACCAUUCAAAUUUAAUAGGCUAAAAUAAAAAAAAAUAGAUUUUUGGCCGUAAUUAUGGUAUAAAUUUUAACUAAUUUGGAGUUUUUAUAAAAGAGAUAUAAGCACUCAAAGUUAAAGUAUCAGUUUUGUAUCUAUUGUCACUCUUUUGGACAUAAUGCAUGCUUACAAAAAGUAAUGAAAGAGCAACAAUUGGGAUUAGAGAGAAUAUUUUUUAACACAUGUUAUACAUACUAUUUGAUGAAUUCUAAAUUGAGAUGAAAGAGAUAUAAGAAGUUGAAGUCAAUGCUUACCACCUAAAAGCAAUAAGUAUUAUGACUUAUUAAUGGUUGUGUUUUGAGCUAUAUCUUGAGCAAUUUGAUAAGAUUUUGGCUCAAAAAUUUUAAAAAUGUAUAUUAUCAUGUUAUUAAAUUUUAUACACAAAUUUUGUGGCAUUUGGAUUUUGGAUUUUUUAAAUAUAAAAAAAAUAGUACUUAGAAGCUUGUAAAUUAGGAUUUAAAGUAUCUGCUAGGACUUCUAAAAUGCUAGACAAUCUGUAGUAGAUUUAUGAUUCAUUAUUUUGUAAUAAAAAUUAAGAAUAAGGUCUAAAUUAUCUAUAGAUUUGAGAAAAAUUGAAUAGUUGGAUCAAGAGAUGAAUUUUUAAAAUUUAGAGAGAAAAAAUCUUUUACAAAAAAAAUAUUUUGAAAGGGUUUUGCUAUAAUUUGGCCAUUUUAUGCAAAGUAAAAGAUGUUUUCAAAGCCAAGACUUUAUAUAUAUAUAUUAAAAAUAGAAAUAUAGAGCUAUAAAAAAAUUAUAGUAUAAAGAUGGAUUUUUUUAAAGAGAUUAUGGAUUUUUUUGAGCUUAUUUGAAAUUAAGCUUAUUGGAGAAUUAUUUAAUUAUGACAGUGUAACAAAGGAUGCUAGGGCAUUUUUAGAUGCUUUAGAAAGGCUUAUAUAUAAAGCUUCUUAAAUAUAAAAAGAUUUUAUUAUUCAAAUAUUUUUUGAUACUAUUAUAUUUAUUUGGUCUUUAUAAUAAAAAUAUGUCAUUUAUUGGAACUUAUCCAAUAAAUUAAAACAAAAUUCUCUACAAUUAGAUAUUUGGUGUAUUUUCAAAUAGAAAAUAAUACCAUAUGAAAGAGCUUUAAGGCACUAAUUUUUCAACAAGUCAUGAUUGAGGAUACAAAGUAAGAAGGCUUAAAUGAUGGAAGUGAUCAAAAUCAUACAAAUAAAUUUUAUAAGGGCCAUGCAAAUAUUUAUGGGUCAACGAGUUGCUAAUGCAACUUUGCAAGGAGCUAUAAAAGCAUUGAGGGAUAUUAUUUGAAAAAUAGAAAGCUUUAAUAGGAGGAAUAUUACUAAUUUUUUGAUAGUUUAUAAUUGCGAAAUAAAAAUCUAUCAAAAGAGAGGAUGCUUGAUACUUUGACUUAGCAAUUGUUCUAAAAAUUAGAAAAAUAGUGAAAUAGCUACAUAAAAAUAUUAAUAUGAAUGCAAAGGUUAGAUUUGAAGAGACAUUGACAAAUAAAUAUUUUAAUGAAGAUAGUGAAAGGAUGAAUAAAAGAGGUUUUUUUGAUUAGGUGGAACAACAACCAUAAAAAUAUAUAGAACCAAAUGAGCUAUUGAAGGAAUUUCAAAAGAAAGUUGGAUAACUUCUAUUAUCUGAGAAGUGCCUUUUAAAAGUGAGAAAAUCAAAGUUAUUUCUAUAAGCUACAAAUGAAAUAUUAGAAGAUAGAUUUCUUCUCUUUCUUUAAGACAGAACAACAAAAGGUGGUUUUAUCACCAAUUAGAGAAGGUUGGAGGAAGCGGUGAGCUUCAUUGCUAAACAACAAUAUGGAAAGUCUAGAAGGUUUGAGAUAAAGAUAGAAGUAAUACUAGUAAUAGAUAUAAAAGCUCCAACAAUAACUUUUUCUAUUUCUAUUCUAUCAAUCUCUUUAAGAAAUAAGAAUAUAAAUAAAGAAAUCUUUAAUGAAUUGAUGAGAAAAAUGAGAGAAUUGAAGGUAGAAAUGAAUGUAUUAAAGAAAGACACAAGGUCAAGCAUUUCAUGAUUAAUUGAAAGUUCAAAGGGAUUUGUGGUGAGGUGUAUUUGGUGUGAUGAUCCAAACUAUAAAUAUAGUGAUUGUGGAUUAUAUAUAGAUGCUAUGAAGAAUAGCAUUAUUAUCUAUAAAAAAAGCAAAAUCAAAGUUGUUAUAAUAAAUGAGCCUCUAGAGACUAACUUUGAGAGAGGAGGUAUAAAAAAACUCAUGGACAAUAGUUUGGAGAAGAGAAACUCUCCAUGUGAUAAAGAAGCAAAGACUUAUAUCAUUUAGGCUUAGAAAAUUAAGAUAAGAACCUCUACAUAUGUAUCUAAAAAAGUAAUGGUAAAGGUAACUCAAGUUAUUUAAAGAGUAAUUGGAUAGGAUGAUCUAGUUGAUGCAACUACCAUUAGGACCUAUUUGGUAAAUAAACAUGGAGAGAAAGAACCCUAUGAUGCAUCAUUGGAAAUCAAGAAGAAUAGAAUUAAUAAAGAAGAAGUAGAAGAGCCAGCCAACAAGAAAAAGGUCCUAAGUGGUAGAAGCACUAUUCCAAGAGAAAGACCAACAGACAAUACAAGGCAAAGGUAAGAAACAAGGCCUUUUUCUUCACAUCUAAGAAAUAAUAUUCAACUCCUAGAAAAGAAGUAAGAGGAGAGAAUGGAUAGCAACAAAGCCAAGAAAAAAAAGACAACACUAAGAGAAAGAAUAAGGCACCAAUCUAUAAACUUCAAUUUGAUAUUGAAUCUUUAGUGGAAAUGAAGGGCAUCUUAGAAGUAAAGAUUUUAGAUGCCAAGAUUGAGCUUAUUUUGAGAGAAGCUCUAAGUAUUGCCAAAAAAGGUUUUCAUAAAUCUAUCAUUAAUGUUAUUAAGAAGAAGAGACAAAUGACAACUGAAAUAGUGAUGGCAAGAGCAUUAGAUAUUUUAAUGACCAAGAAAGAAGUGGAAGAGAUUAGAUAAGUAUUUACUAUAAAAUAUGAUUAUAUGGAUAGUAGUGAUCAAAGAAAAAAGAUUUGAAGUCAUUUAUGAUAAGAUUGUGAAAAUAAAAGUUGAAGUUAUGGAAGGAGAUUUAUGUGAUGAGAUGGAGGAUGAAGUACUACAAAUAUUUUUAUAUCAUAGAGUAGCUAACAUCAAAGUAGAAGCCAACAAUAAUAAAAAUCCAAAAGAAAAAAUUACUAUGGAAGCCAAAGUAUCUAAGUAUGAGGCUAAAAAGAUAUAAAGGAGAGAAAAAAAAGCUUUGAUAGCUUAUAUUCAUCUAUUUUGGAUAAGAACCACUAUAGAGAUAUGUGUAAAAAAAGAGACCUUAAAGAGCCAAUUUUAGUAUUAGUCGAUUAUGGCUUUAAAAUCAACAUCUUAUCUAAAAAGAUUUAUAUGAAGAAUAAGUGACUAAUUGAUACUAACCAUGGAUGGAUAUUGAGAUUUGCCAAUGAUGAAAGAAGUAGCUUUUAUGGAGUAUGUUUAAUAGUGGGCAUCAAAAUUAAUAAUGUAGAAGUAGAGCAAAAUUUUAUUAUGCAAAAUCAAAGAAGUUAUUUAAUAAUUUUGGAACAACCAUAUAUUAAUAUAAUAAGGAUGGAGAACGAGGUGUUAUAUGAUGGCUUACAUUAUACUAGGAUUCAUAGCCAUGAUUAUUAGGGACCAUAUGCAAGACAAGGAUUUAAGACCAAGAAAUAGAAUUAGCUUGAUAUUAGAAUAUGUAGAAUAGAUAUUAAUUCAUUUUUGAAAGAUAUUGGUAAAAUAUAUUAAUAGUCCAUAUAAUAGGAAAUUUAGGAGGAUGAAUGAAUGAUUUAGUUCUUAAAAGUGGUUAAUUAUAGAAUUAUGAUUAGAAUUUGGAGAAUCAAGCGAAAGUAUAUAGGAGUUGUAGAAGUUAAUUAAGGUGCCAGACUCUGAUAGUCAUGAGCCGAGGGCCAUUGUUGUGAUAGUGUCAGCCGAGAUAAGUUUGGUGCUACCUCUUUUCUUUUGUUUGUUAUUUUCUUUGAAUAAGAAGAUUGAGAGUUUCUGAAUAUUGUGAAGUGAAUUAUGGAAUGGAAAUGUGAUUGGUAUUAUUUGAGAAGAAGAAAGAUUGAAUGCUGAAAUCUAAUUGUAGUUCAGCAGAGAGAAUGAGUCUAUGUUUGUGUGAAACAUGGUAAUGUGAAUGGCAGUUCUGUGUGAAGAAUUCUAGUGAUUAGAAUGAGGAUAAUUGUGUGCUGAAAGUUGUGAGGGCGUAAUAUUAUAAUUAAAGAUUAUGAGGGUGAAUAUAUUGGUGAAAAUACCAGUUAUUGGUAUGACUGAAUUGCUGUAAAGAAGAGACCAAUAAGGUGAAGGAGGAGAUUAUAGUUUCUUUGUGUGUUCAGAUAUUGGAAAUAGAGAUGAUACAUUCAAGAGAUAAUUGAUUGUGUGACUCUAACGUGAACGCUUAAGUAACUAGUCAUUUCCCUUGUUCGAAUCCCCUUAUACGGGUUUAUUCCUAUUAGAUUAAUUUGGAAUAAGUAAAACGAGCAAUCACAGAACAACAACUUGAUAUAAGGUAAGAAAGUCAUGACUAGAUCACAAGAAGUAAGUUAUCAAGAUUGAGGAUCCCUUUAGCCUCGACUCAUAUAUAUACUAGAUCUUAAGAAGCUUCUUGAGAAUUUUCUAUGAAGCUUAAAAACAAAGUAAGCCUAAGAUCCUUCUUUGACAACUUCUUAAAUCAUCUAAAGCAUCUUAGAAUCUUCAAGAGCCUUCUUAGAAUCUACUCAAAUCUUCAAGAAUCUUACAAAAUCUUCUAAAAUCUUCUAAAAUCUUCUAGAACCUUCUAAAAUCUUUGAGAACCUUCUAGAACCUUCUGGAACCUUCUUCUUUUGUAUGUUUGAAACAUCACCUCUUCUUUUAGCUUUGAUUUCUCUGAGAAGUAAUAUUAUAGCAAGCUAGUAUAUGCAGAAGAAGUUGAAGAUCUGUCGCAUGGUGUCCGUUUUAUAUUUUAGUUAUUUUUUGUGAGAUAAAUGAUUCAUAGGCCCUUGUAGCCAUCAAUAAUAUCUCAAGCCUUCUACUUGUAAUUAAGCAUGAACUUCAAUAUCUUCAUUGUAAAAUUGUCCUACAAACACUCCUUCUAAACGUCCUUCAUAGGUAGAUUCUACCUCAAACACAAUUACUAAUGACCUGUUAUUAGGUAUCCUUUGACAUCUUCAUGGUUAUAGCUCUUCAUCUUGGGAUCAUCUUCGUGAGCUACUUGGUUGAGAUGGUAUGAUCGGCAGGGCAUCUAUUUCUUGACUAUUCAUAUUAUAUAAAGUAGACAAGACUAAAAGAAUAUAAAUAAGCUAUGGUCAUGAACUCAAACUAUUGACUUAUAAUGUUCUAAACAUUUGAAAAAAUUGCCUCUUCAGAGGUUGCCUCCUCUCCUUCUUUAUGAGGCCAAGAACUAAGAAACUUCAUAGUGAAGCCAUCUUAUUAAGCUAUUAUUCUUCAUUUUGCCGCUUUUGGUCUAAAUAGAUGUGAUUGAUGGAACCUUUGAACCUUCAUUUGUUCAUUUAUAAGAUUAUUAGCUGAUUUCCAUGUGCGAUUGUUGAUAUCAUAUUUGCACCAAUGGACUAGAUAUUCAAGCCUUCCAUGUCUUAUCCUUGAAUCUAAUACCUUUUCUACCUCAAAUUCAAUAUGAUCAUUGAUUUCAACUAUAGGAGGUAGAGAUAGUCUUCAAUUUCAUAUGUUCAAUUUCUUAUACCUUUCCAAAAGUGAAACAUGAAAGACUAGAUGAAUCUUCAUGAAUGAAGGUAAUUCUAAAUGAUAAGUUAUAUUAUUAAUUUAUUCUUAAAUCACAAAUGAUACUAAUCUUUAAUAGUCCAACUUAUUACAUGGCUUGUUGGUUCUUGUAUUACAUCAAAGAAGCCAAACUUUGUCACCAACUUGGAAUAGAAGAUAUUCCUUCCUCAAUUCAUCCGCCACUAGUUUAUAAUGUUUUUGAGCCCUUUCUAUGUAAGUCUUCAUGGUUGCUUGAAGUUCGGCCAUCUUUAUAGUAAACUCUUCUGAUGUUAGAUUUGCUGACUUUGAAGGCUCUAUCAUAUCCAACUUUGGAUGAUGACCGUAGUUUGAGUAGAAUGACAUUUGCUAUAUAGAUACAUGAAUCAUGUUAUUAUAUGCAAAUUCUACCAAUGACAAAUAGGAAGUUCAAACAUCUUAUUGAUAGUUGAAAAUGUACCUCAAAUAUUCUUCAAGAACUUAUUUGAUUUGCUCCAUUUGGCCAUCAAUUUGAGGGUGGAAGGCAGAAGAAAGAUUGAUGUCAAUCUUAAGAAUCUUCAAGAAUAACUUCUAAAAUAUUGAUACAAAUUAUGGCUCAAGAUUUGACAGAAUGUCAUUUGAUAACCUUGUUGUAUAGCAUGAUUUGCUAUUUAAGAAUAUAUUGGAUAUCUAACUAUAUAGAAUUUAGCUUAAACCUUUAUAUGAAUCUUGUCUUAGCUUCCAAAACUCAAAAUAUAACAAAAUCCCUUCAAAACAUAUUUUUUCCAUGAAGGGUUUUCUUAUCUUAAAUUUUAAAAAUUCAUAACACUUGAUCUAGCCAUUUAGUUUGUCUCAAAUUUAUAAAAUAAGUAGAAUUCAUCCUUAACUUUUACCACAAAAAAAACAAACUACAAAUUCACUCCUAAUCUUUUAGCAUCUGAGAAAUCCUAGCAGUUGCUCUAAACCCUAAUUUACAAGCACCCGAGCACUAUUUUCUUAAUAUCUCAAGAAUCCAAUACUCAAAUAUCAUCAAACUUAUGUAAAAAGUUUAUUAAUAUGAAUUUACACAUUUCCUGAAAUUUUUAGCAAAAACCUUGUCAAUUUGCUCAAGAUAUAGCUCAAGAUACAACCACUAGUAAAUUGGGUUACUUACUACCCUUAGAUUGCAUGUGCUGACUUCAAAAUCUAAUAACUCUUUUAUACCAACUUAGAAUCCAGCAAGAAAUAUGCAAAAAGUAUAGCCACAAAAGUGCUUUCUUUAGUCGCAAUUGCCAAUCCUCAAUUGCCUUCCGUAUACAUGCAUUAUGUCAAAAUGAGUGAUAGUAGCUCCCAAAUCAACACCUUAACUUUGAGUGCCUUUAUUUCCUUCAUAUAAACUCCAAAUCAUACUAGAUUUGUACCAAAACCAUAGCUAGAAACCUAAACUUGCUGGACCUAGCCUUUAAAGCUCAAAUGGCUCCGAAAAACUAACCCUAAUCUCUAAUAUGGCCUAGGGCAGCCUCCUCAAAGCCUAUUGGUCAUGAUUUUUGACCAACAGGAAUGGAGAUUUUCAUCAUCCAUCUCCAUUCAUCUAUAUGGAUGCCCUAAACUCUCUUUUUACUGUCAAAAUCCCUCUCCAAUUCUUUUUUUUAUAAGAUAUACUCAAUAUAUGCCCUGAAUAUUAAAUUAAAGAACCAAAAUAAGACUUCAAGGGUCACCAAUGUCUAGUAAAGGUGACUCUAAAUAUUUAAAGUUACUACCAACAAAAUCAAUCUCAAAAGCUAUUAUAAAAAAAAAAAAAAGUUAUAUAAAUUCUAAUAGUAAUCAUUUUAAACAACCUCCUUUUAAAGUAGUAAUUUAACUACAUUCUAUAACCAACUAAAAUCCAGUAACAUGGCUCUCACCAUGUUGUUAAGUAAAUUAUACAUUAAAUACAUAAUCACAUUAUUUUCACAUGAUAGUCGAAUCACAACACUACACUGUAAUAACGAUAGACAUUAUCAAUAAAGAGUCUUGCUAUCUCUUUACUAGUAAUUGACUUCUUACAAGGUAUAAAAUGUGCCAUCUUGGUCAAUCGAUCAACAACUACAAAGAUAGUAUCAAAUGAGCUUGAUUAUGGAAGAUCUGUAAUAAUAUCCAUAGAGAUAGAUGACCAUAGUUGUCUUAGAAUAGGAAGGGAUUGAAGAAGUCUAUAUGGUCGAUGUCAAAGGUUCUUUUACCUUGAACAAGUAUCUCAUGAUAGUACAAAUUUCUUAACGUCCUUCCAUAUUUUAGGCCACCAAAAAUCUCUAGAGAGAAGUACCAAGGUUUUGUUGAAUCCAAAAUGUUCGGUUGUAGGGAAGUCAUGGCAUAUUUGAAGAACGUGCAAGCAAGUUGGCUCUUCAAGAAUAAACAAACAUUCUUCAAAGAAUAAGAGGUUAUCUUCAUACUUGAAUUUAGAAGACUCUUUAGAAAGUUUGUUGGCAAGAUGCUUGAUAUUAAAAAUAAGAAGAUCUGUGUUUGAGGCUUUAUAAACUUAAUCAAGAAAUGAUAAAUCCAUAGGCAUUGAUACAUUGAUUUUUCAAAGAUGAAAUUACUUAAGUUUUAAUAAGGUUGCCCAUUGUUGAACAUAUACCGCUGUCGUGAUGUAACACGAUUAAUAGAUGAAAGAGUGUAGAGAUUAUUAUAAUUUAAGAGAUCUUAGUUCAAAGUAUUAGAACAAAUUAUCUUAGAAAUAUAGUUAAUAGCCAAAGGGGUAGAAAAAUUAAAAGGUACCAAUGCUGCCUUGUAAAAAUGUGACUUCUACUUACUUUGUAGUACCAUAAGUAAGGCAAAUCAAAGUAUAUUGGGAAAAUAAAUGAUAUAGGAAUCUUGAGAAGAAAGUUAAGAGUAAAUUCUAGAAAAAAUUACUUAGAAAAACUAGAUAUUGAUACCCGGAGAGGGCCGGUUAUGAACCAGGGUCAAAAUCAGACCCUGAGGCACAAAACUGAGUCUCGAUGACGACUCCAGGACUCUUUGGCACAUCGAAGAAAGGGGGUUUGAGAAAAGAUUGGAUAGGGUUUCUAUGGGCAUUGAUUUUGGGCGAUUUGGAGUUGAUAUGAAUUUGUAAAAGCUUUGAAAAGUUGAGGUUUUUUUCGGAUGGCUUGGGUUUUAUGAAAUAAAAUAGGGUUUAUGUUUUGAGUGAUUUCAAGAGUUUUGUUGCAGAUCUAUGGAUGAAUUUUUUUGGGUUUACGUUUAUAGUUGUGUUGAAUACAUGUUGUAAAUUUGAGCUUGAUCUAACGGUUGAACUAAGAGAUAUUGAGGUUUAAGUGAGUCAAGGUCUCAGAAAGUAGAAUUUUAGGUCUAGUGAAGGUUUUGAAGAUUUCAUGCAAUCUACUAGUUAGAUUGGAGUAAAACUUAUGUGAGAGGAUAUUAGACUUGUUUUUCUAUGUCCGUGAGAAAUUUAAAAUGAAUCGAACGGCGCAAAGAAGAGAAAUUGGCUCUCGAAGGUUGGCAAUAAGAUUGGAGAAAGAGGCCGGCUAACACUCGAACACAUUUUUGAGGUUUUCGUCAAUUUGGUAACUUCGAUCCUUUUCAAAAUUUUUUUGCUUGUUUUGAACUUGAUUUUUAAGAAGUGUGCAAAUUUUGAAUUGAGAUCAACGGUUUAUUCAUUAGAUAUUGAGGUUUUAAUCUGUCAUAGGAAUUACUAGGAUUUGGAUUAGGAUUUGGCUAGGGUUCGGUUUAGGGUUUGGAUUAGGGUUUAGAUUAGGGAUUAGGGUUUGGUUAGGGUUUGAUUUAGGAUUUGGAUUAGGGUUUGGUUAGGGUUUUAUUUAAGGUUUGGUUUAGGGUUUAGGAUUUGGAUUAGAGUUUAGGAUUGGAUUAGGGUUUGGAUUAGGGUUUAGAUUAGGAUUUAGGAUUUGGUUAGGAUUUGAUUAGGAUUUGAUUUAAGGUUUGGUUUAGGGUUUAAGGUUGGAUUAGGGUUUGGUUUAAGGUUUGAUUUAGGGUUUGGUUUAGGGUUUAGGGUUUAGGGUUUGGAAUAGGAUUUAAUUUAAGAUUUGUUUAGGAUUUGACUUAGGGUUUAGGAAUUAUUAGGGUUUAAGAUUUAAUUAGGUUUUUUCUAAAUUUGAGUGAAAUUCAAUAGGAUUUUAACUAGAAUUAAAUUAAGGUUGAAUUGACAUAUAUUUGAAUAAAAUUUGUGAUCAUUUUAAUAUUUCUUUAAAAAUUUUAUCAUUUGUUUGAAAUUUCUUUGAGUUGUUUUGAAUUGGAUUACGUUUGUUUACUAUUAUUAUAGUCUAAUUAGAACAUUGUUAGUAUUCUAUUUAGGAUUUUGUUAUCGCAAUUUCUAUUCUUCCUUCUAUAGCUAGGUGUCCGAAGCAUUCUCAAGCAAGACUUCACACAUUAUGACAUUGCCUCACCUUCUUUUGGUUCAAGGUAGGGACAUCUUAAUAAAGCAUCUGAUAAUCCU